UGUGUUAUCAGGCGGUGCCAAUUAUUGGCUGAGAAAUACGCUUAUGACCUGAUCUAGUUAGUACUAGCGGAGGCAUGGAUAUACAUAUUUUUA
rnacentral:ncRNA from 2 species